rnacentral:lncRNA from 1 species
AAAUCAUACCACAAUGGCAAAGCUCAGCAGGCAAAGACCACCCGUAAGGACUGACGGUCCUUGACUGAUGGUCACUGGCCUCAGACUUCUAGAUCAUCACAGGCCUAGCUAGGAAAGAAGGAGCAACACCUCUCCCCUAAGGGAAAAGGCUGCUUCUACCUCUCCCUAACAGGAAAUUAACGUUGGAAUUGAACAAAUUAGCAAUAGGACCGUUACACUCAUGUUGUAUAUAACAGAAUGCAUAUUCAUCUUGUAACUCAGAAUACAGAAACAAUACAAUUACACAUCAUUGAUCAAUAAACAUCUCAAGCCUUCAUAUUCAAAUCUUUUCUCAUGGUAUCAGAGCAGGAUUAAUCCUGUCAUCAUCUACCCAGUAAGAUCAGAAAAACUUCAUCAUGUCUCACAGUGACCUCACAAAACUCAUAAACAUUGAGUUAAGAGGCAAUCAGAACUACUUCGAAUGGUCAAGGGCUGUGUACAUCGGCCUUAGUGGCCGGAAGAAGCUAGGGUUCAUAACAGGAACCCUAAGCAGGCCAGAAGUAAAGAAUCCAAACCAACCAACGAAGGAAGAACUGGAGGCCAUCGAAGAUUGGCAGGCCACUAACCAUUUGGUCAUGUCCUUGCUAACAAACACGAUGGAGCCUCAGAUUGCCAGAUUGUGUAUGCUUCUAGCAUCAUCACAGGCAGUAUGGGCAAAAAUGAAAAAUCUAUACGGCCAAGAACAAAAUUUCGCACACAUUUUUAAUCUGAAACAAGAACUAGCCCAUAUCAAAUAAGGGACCAAGUCCAGCUCUGUCUACGCAACUGAGGUAUUGACUCGGUGGGAGGAACUCCAAAGUUACCUCCCACCUACUGCCGACCCCGAAGAAGCGAGGAAGAGGGCAGAUCAAGACUUAGUUUAUACGUACCUGGGUGGUCUCGACUCCACCUAUGAAGCUCUUCGGUCCCAGAUUUUGCUGUCUCACAACCUCCCUUGGCUCGACACUGUCAUCGCCCUCAUACCACUGCAAAAAGCAGGGUCACACGUCCGAACGAUGUUGGCAUCUCCAUCCUCACCUCAGGCCGAAUCACAGUAGAGGCGAGCGAGGGAGACAAGGCAACAAGCGGGAUAGAGAAGAGAGGAAGGGAGAAAGGUUUGGCGGCAUAGGAGUAAACAUGUUGAAACCUAAAAAUUUCGACAUGUUUACUGGAUCAGAUGUAGCUAGCGAGUCGGACCUUCCAACCCGACCCGACACAGCUGCAUUCGAACGACCCGGCUGCAGCAAUCUGGACCAGCCCAGCCAGAGGUCAUGGGCUCACCCGGCCUCAUGGCCAAACAACAGCUUCUGGGCCAACCCAGCCCACACCAGCAACAGCAGCUCCUGGGCCAACCCGGAUCCAACCCGGCCCAGCCCACCAACCCGCCCAGAAAUUAAUCAAACCGAAAAUUCCUAAAUAAUUUCUCAGCUCCAGUCUCUUCUACAGCCUCAGAAUUCCAGGGGGUCAGGUUUGGUACGCAACACGCUACAAAUAAAUACUCUACUUGGAUUAUUGAUUCCGGUGCAACAGAUCACAUGACCUGGGAUCCGACCAAAUUACAUAAUUUUGUCCCGACAAAUUCCUAACAUGUGAUCGUUGCUAAUGGAAAUCGAGCUGAAUCUCUAGUUUUGGCUCAUCUAAAUUGUUUAAUAAACCAGUACCAAAUAUUCUUCUUCUGCCUACUUUUAAAUCUAAUUUAUUAUCUGUUUGUCAAAUCACCAAAACUUUAAAUUGUAAUGUUAUUUUCUCACCAUCUACUGUAAUCUUUCAGGACCGACUCACCGGGAAGACGAUUGGUGAAGGAUACCUUCAAAAUGGCCUAUACUAUCUCACCACUCCUAGUCAGUGUCUCACCACCACCAAUUCCUUUAACCAAGGCUUAUUGAUGCAUAGGCGGUUUGGGCAUCCGUCCGAUAAAAUUUUGAAACAAAUUUUCCAACUUCAAAUAGAUUCAAGCUGUUGUGAUGUUUGCAAAUUUUCAAAGCAUACUAGAUUACCUUUUCCAUCAUCGUCUACCAAAUCAGAAAAAUUAUUUGAUUUAAUCCACUCUGAUGUUUGGGGACCUGCUCCCAUUACCUCCCAUAAUCAUUUCUGCUAUUUUGUCACUUUUAUUGACAAUUACUCACUUUUUUACCUUGGGUUUAUUUUGUUAAAUUAUUUGAUUUAACUUGGGUUUAUUUACUAAAAGGCAAAAAUGAGGUUUUUACAUGUUUUCUCAACUUUUUUACCUUUAUUAAAAAUCAGUACAACGCCAAAACUAAAAUUUUUCGCUCAGAUAAUGGCACUGAAUAUGUCAAUAAGAACUUUUCUGAAUUUUUUUCUCAAAACGGUAUUUUGUACCAAACUACUUGCAUUUAUACCCCUGAACAAAAUGGGGUUUCAGAAAGGAAAAAUAGACAUCUUCUUGAAGUUACUCGUACUCUCCUUUUUCAAAACAAUAUUCCUCACAUAUUUUGGUCGGAUGCCCUCCUUACCGCCGCUUAUCUCAUCAACCGGCUCCCCAGCUCUGUUCUUAACAAUCUCAGCCCUUUGGAGCUUCUCAAACAAAGAAAAAUUGACCUCGGUCAUAUUCGAAUAUUUGGUUGCACUGCCUUUGUUCACAUCAAACGUCAUCAUAAGUUGGACAAAAGUUGUGUCAAAACCAUCUUCCUAGGAUAUUCCUCAGAAAAGAAAGGCUACAAAUGUUAUGAUCCUACCACUUACAGAUCCUACAUUUCCCGAGAUGUGACCUUUCACGAAACCACCCCUUACUUUCCUUGUGAUCCUAUUCCUCCCACAGUUCUCUCAGCAGAUCUAUUUCCCUCUAACUCUUCCUUUUUUGACAGCAUUCUUCAGGAUACUUCUUCCGCUCAGGAGCACCCUUGUGUGCCCAUCGCUGGCCCUAGCCCUAACCCUUCAGGGGGAAUACCUUCCAUUCCUGUGGCAAUUUUUUCAGGGGGAGAUCUUGAGUUACCAACAGAAGAACUUGCCCUACGGAAUGAGUCACCAAUAGAAGAACUCGCCCUGCGAAGAUCUACUAGACCAACUAGACCUCCUGCUCGGCUAAAGGACUAUGUGUCCAAUUCAGUAUCGUACCCUAUUCAUCACUUUAUUAGUUAUAACUCUGUAUCAUCCUUAUACAGGACCUAUUUAAAUACUCUCACAUCACACACUGAGCCUACCUCUUUCUAUGAUGCCAACACCAAUCCUAAUUGGUGUAAGGCUAUGAAAGAAGAGCUCCAGGCCCUUGAAGAAAAUGAAACUUGGGAUCUUGUUACCCUACCAUUAAAUAAAAAACUAGUUGGUUGUAAAUGGGUAAAUAAGAUCAAAUACAAGCAUGAUAGUACCAUUGAAAGGUACAAAGCCAGGCUAGUAGCAAAGGGUUUUACCCAAACUUAUGGUGUAGAUUACCAAGAGACCUUUGCCCCAGUAGCUAAAAUGAGCACAAUCCGUAUUUUAUUGUCUGUUGCUACUAACUCAGGGUGAAGCUUAUUUCAGAUGGAUGUCAAGAAUGCAUUUCUUCAAGGGUCCCUAGCCGAAGAGGUAUACAUGAAACUUCCACCAGGCCAUACAUUAGCCUCUGAGCCUUCCCUGGUAUGUAAAUUAAAAAAGGCAAUCUACGGGCUGAAACAAUCACCGAGAGCAUGGCAUGCCAAGCUUAGUCAGUUUCUCUUAAAAAUUAAUUUCAGCAAGUGUACCUCUGACUCUUCUAUGUUUGUUAAACACACGCACACUCACACCAUAAUUAUUUUAGUAUAUGUGGAUGAUAUUAUUAUUACAGGAAAUAGUAAUAAGGAGAUUGAGGAAGUAAAACAAGCUCUAAAGAAAGAAUUUGAUAUCAAGGAUCUUGGUCAACUAACUUACUUUCUCGGAAUAGAAAUAGCCAAAUCUCAUAAAGGACUAUUCCUAUCUCAAAGAAAGUAUGUCCUAGAUCUUCUGCAAGAAACAUGAAAAAUAGGAGCCAAGCCUGUAGAUACUCCAAUGGAAACGAAAAACCGUCUCAAUCUAGAGGAUGGCGACCCUUUAAGUGACAUAGGACACUACCAGCAGUUGGUAGGAAAAUUGAUCUAUCUAACCGUCACCAGGCCUGAUAUUAGCUAUGCCGUAAGCAUGAUUAGCCAAUUUAUGCAUGCUCCCGUACUGCCCACCUGGAUGCGGUCGACAGAAUCCUAAGAUAUCUCAAGGGUACUCCAGGCCAAGGUAUUUUGAUGAAGAAUAAUAAUAAUGCUAACAUCGUUGCUGGUUUCUCCGAUGCAGAUUGGGCAGACAGUUGCAACAGAAAAUCAACCUCUGGGUUCUGUGUCUUUGUAGGAGGAAAUCUGGUAACGUGGAAAAGCAAAAAGCAAUCAGUAACAGCAAGAUCUAGUGCUGAAGCUGAGUACCGAGCCAUGGCAUCGACAGCUAGCGAGCUUGUUUGGAUUAAGCAAGUGCUCACUGACAUGGGAGUAAAGUGCAAGGAUCCAAUGGAGAUGUACUGUGACAACCAAGCAGCCAGACACAUAGCAUCAAACCUAGUCUUUCACGAAAGGACUAAACAUAUUGAAGUUGACUACCAUUUCAUAAGAAAAAAAGUCCAAUCAGGAGAAAUCACAACCCCGUUUGUCAGAAGCCACGAACAACUGGCAGACAUCUUCACCAAGGCCCUAGACAAAGCAAGCCACCAAAGACUUCUAAGCAAGAUGGGUUUUAUCAAUUUAUUCGCACCCACCUUGAGGGGGAAUGUUGAAGAACUAAAUCAUACCACAAUGGCAAAGCUUAGCAGGCAAAGACCACCCAUAAGGACUGACGGUCCUUGACUGAUGGUCACUGGCCUCAGACUUCUAAAUCAUCACAGGCCUAGCUAGGAAAGAAAGAGCAACACCUCUCCCCUAAGGGAAAAGGCUGCUUCUACCUCUCCCUAACAGGAAAUUAACGUUGGAAUUGAACAAAUUAGCAAUAGGA